UCGCAACUGACGGCUGAAGGGACGAAAGUUAGGGGAGCAAACAGGAUUAGAUACCCUGGUAGUCCUAGCCCUAAACCAUCAGGACUUGGGGUUUGCCCUGUACGGGGCAAGUCCCGGAGCUAACGCGUUAAGUCCUGCGCCUGGGGAGUACGGUCGCAAGACUGAAACUCAAAGGAAUUGACGGGGGCCCGCACAAGCGGUGGAACGUGUGGUUCAAUUCGACGCAACGCGAAGAACCUUACCUGGGCUUGAACCGCACAGGACCCUCCCUAGAAAUAGGGACUUCCCGCAAGGGACCUGUGUAGAGGUGCUGCAUGGCUGUCGUCAGCUCGUGCCGUGAGGUGUUGGGUUAAGUCCCGCAACGAGCGCAACCCUUACUCAUAGUUGCUACCCGCAAGGGAGAACUCUAUGAGGACUGCUCCGGAUAACGGAGAGGAAGGUGGGGAUGAGGUCAAGUCAGCAUGGCCUUUAUGUCCAGGGCUACACACGUGUUACAUUGCGCGCCACAAAGUGUCGCGAACCCGUGAGGGGGAGCUAAUCGCAAAAAAGCGCGCUCAGUUCGGAUUGCAGUCUGCAACUCGACUGCAUGAAGCCGGAAUCGCUAGUAAUGGCGUAUCAGAUCGACGCCGUGAAGACGUUCCCGGGCCUUGUACACACCGCCCGU
rnacentral:rRNA from 1 species